UACAGAGGUCUCAAGCGUUGUUCGGAUUCAUUGGGCGUAAAGGGUGCGUAGGCGGCGCGGUAAGUCGGGUGUGAAAUCUCGGAGCUUAACUCCGAAACUGCAUUCGGAUACUGCCGUGCUUGAGGACUGGAGAGGAGACUGGAAUUUACGGUGUAGCGGUGAAAUGCGUAGAUAUCAGGAGGAACACCGGUGGCGAAGGCGGAUCUCUGGGCCUUACCUGGACGCUGGAGGAGCGAAAGCGUGGGGAGCGAACAGG
rnacentral:rRNA from 1 species